rnacentral:tRNA from 1 species
CCCGGGCCGGAGCGGCUUCGCCUGCGGCCGGUUCGAACCGGGCCGCGGCGACUUCGCCCGUCACCGGUUCGAGCCCGGACUCCGUGGC